rnacentral:lncRNA from 1 species
CUAGUGAGUUCCUCUUAGAGCCUUGUGGGGCGGGGCCGGGGGGGGCAGCUGGGACAUCCCACAUGCGUCUCUGAGUAGGGCACCACAGGGGGUGCCAUGCCCAGAGGAGGAGGAGGAGGAGGGCUGAGGCCCUCCUGGGGCCUGGUCUGCAUUUGGGUCCCACCUCCCAAUCUGGGGCCCAGCUACCUCAUUCCUGCUGCCCAGGGCUGCAGCAGCUGACGUACUUGGUGCAGACCCUUUCCAGUGCCCACCUAGGCUCUUUGGAGCCCACCUUACUAAACACACCAUCUUUGGCAGCACGCCUUCUUGGUCCCCAGAAUUCUCAGAGUGCAUGAUCUUGAAGAUCUGACUCUCUGGGCAGCUUUGGAAGAACUGACUCAUGGGAAAUAACCCUGAAUUCCUGGGAGAUGAAGGUGAGAAGGCCCAGCAUACAAAGUAAACAGAUGGACGUCACACCGUCACAGGCAGAGGGAGCCUGGCCGCAGCCGCGGUCACUCGGCAGCCGCUUUGAGCCACAGAGCACACUCAGUGAGGCCUGGAGCCUGAAGACAAACAGGCUUCUUGGCUGCUGGAGGUCCAUGACUCACAGCUCCGCUCCAGCCCACCCAAUUCCUUGGCCUCUGGUGGCUCAGGCCGAGCCCUCGGCCCACUGCCCGGCACAGCUGGGCAGCAUUAAGGACUUGGCACCCUCGGAGCUGGCCUCAGCUCCUCCAGGCCCUUCUGUUGUCAGGGGCUGACGGAGUCAGGACAGCCAGCGAGGGAGGAAUGUGUCUGCUCCGGGCCGGGCUGACACCGGGCUGCAGGGCAGGGUCAGCGGGGGUGAGAGCAGCUGCGGAUGACAGGCCUGGGCUGCCGGCUCCAUGUCCUGGGUCCUGGGUCACUCAGCGCUCCCAGAGACCUGGCCAGGCCCCUGGAGAAGCCCGGAGCGCUGGGAACUCACAUCAAGCCCUGCCAAGAACCUCAGGCCACCGAAGAACACUGGACAUGGCCUCCUGCUCCAAUGUACAUGUGCCUGUCCCAGUGGGCCAUGAGCGGUCUAAGGAAGUCCCUGAGAUGUUUCUCUUGAGGACAUCUGAUUCCCGCAUGGGCUGGCCAGGGGCGGGCACUGAGGUUCUCCAGCUUCACUCCUUCAGGUUUCUCAAAGAUAGGGCACAGCCUGGGUUCCUGGAAAUAGACACAGGUCUGAGUCUCAGCAGCACAGCCCCAGGCACCUCAUCUGUCAAGGCCGAGGCAGGCUGGUCUUUCUCCUUCAAAGAUGCCCUGCCCCUGGGGCCCUGGCCUGGCCUGCUAGCUCAGUUGCCUCUGCAGCCCUCUCCUCCUCUCCAGUGUCUUCCUGCAGUCCUGGGUCCGUUAGCGUUGCUGGAUGCUGAUGGCCCUGGGAGACUCCAGGCGGAAACACUGGAAAAGUCUCCUCUUCUGUCCUCACAGAAGACAAGAAUGAUUUUCUGAUUAGAUGUAAGGCAGCGGGAAGAGCAGAGGGGGUGGGCUCAGAGCUGGGAUGAUGCCCCAAUCUGGCUGUAGCUUCCAUAACUCAGUUAUGGUACCCCCCCGCCAUGAGUCAGGCCCCAUGGUGCCCCUCAGGCCUCCAUCUCCCUGAUCAGUGAGUCAGAAUCUUGGGUUGCAUGAUUUCACAGACACUGCCAGUUGCAGCCUUUUGGAAGACAAUGUGUUGCAUACCUUCUGGACUUAGCCCUUUGGGUAGCUCAGACCAGAGAGGGGUCCCAUCAGAUUUGGAGUGUGGAUCAUCCAGAGGAGAUGACCCUUGGAUGCUGGCUCAGCAACCACUCAGAGGCUCUGUGUCCUGGACCUGGAGGGCAGAGACAGGCCCCCCACCUUCUGAGCCCCAGCCUGCAGUGGUCUUGGACCCACUGGCCUCCCUGGCAGCUGAGUCUUGGCCUGCUGGCUUGGCUGGUUACAGGGAGACCUCAGGUGAGGGGCUCCUCUGAAGCCCACUCAGGAUGGGGCAUCCUCCUGGGGGGGGCUCUCUGCCUCUUGCAGAAUAAAGCCUUUGCUAGGCUUGGGGUCUCAUAGUAGUGGCUCUCAUGCCAGGUCAUCAAAAGGCUGUGAGGCCAGACCCCUGAGAAGUCUAUGAUGGAGAGGAGGGUUGGUAUCCCAGACAUGUCAGGCUCUGCCUUAAUCCAGGCUGUGUAGUCUUGGAGAACCAAGGUCUCUGUGUCUCUGUGGUCAGAAUGAUAGGAAAGAAACAUCCUUGCCAUCCUAUCCCAUGGCACUAGGCUCAGAGGAGAUGACAUCUGAAGAGCUAAGGGCGUGGCUCAGUGUGACCAAUCCCACUGCUUGUGAGAUGCACAUGAAGGCUGGUAGUGCAGGCUGCAAGAAGCACUUUAACAGCGGAGAGGAAUUUAGAACAGGUUUGCUGCCGAGAGGACAGCGGGUGGAUUUCCAAGUGCGAUCUGGGUCAGAGAUUGGGCUUUGCAUGAGGGUUGGAGGAUGCUGGGAAAAGGGUCCAAGCAGUAAAUGUGAUUAUCUAAAGAAUGUCUUCUUUGGGGUCACUCAGCACCUUGUAGAUUUCCUGGGAGCACCUGCAUCGCGUUUAAAAUUAUGCUCACAGCUACAGUUUAAUAGAAACCAUUCUCCUCUGGCUUGCAGAGGAUUUUAGCUUUAGAUAAGGAGCUCAGGAGGUCUGUGCAGGUCUUGUGGAGAAGUCAGACUGGGGCUCAUUUGGAGACACGAGGCCUUGACCAAAAGGUUUCUUGCUGUCUUAUGACCUCGUACCAAGAUCAAGAAAUAUGAAACUCUCUCAGUGGAGCCCUUCGUUGUGGGGUGGGAGGGCUUUAACUGGUCACCGAGUCUCACCAUUAAGGGUGUUAGUCCCGUGACCAGAGAGUGACCACUAUACUCAGUACGAGGAAAGGAGACGUGGUAGAAGCAGGGCCGUGCCCCAGGGGAGAGCCCUGUAGUGGACAUCAGAUCUGACCUCCAGCUUGUCACUUCCUGAGCAAGAUGUCGCCAAACUGCUGGCCGCCAAACACGGAUUCCCUGCUUACUAACCAAGAACAAUAUAGGGGUCCCCCACCUCUGUCAGUUAGGUUGGCUUUCCCAUAAGCAGACGCCAGUAUCUAGCUAUGAUUGAAGAAAU